GAUUUCUGGUACAAUGCACCUGGCCCGCGGCCUAUUAGGCUUGUGAGUGCCGGCGCGCGUUUACCAUCCUUCUAGAAAUCAGGCCUGCCCUUUACUGGGUUGGGUUUGCGAUCUAGAUCUUUUACUUUGAAAAAAUUAGAGUGUUUAAAGCAGGCUUUUGCUAUGAAUACAUUAGCAUGGAAUAAUAAUCUAGGACUUCGGUUCUAUUUUGUUGGUUUCUAUAACUGAAGUAAUGAUUGAUAGGGAUAGUUGGGGGUGCUAGUAUUGGCCGGCCAGAGGUGAAAUUCUUGGAUUCGGUCAAGACUAACUUAUGCGAAAGCAUU
rnacentral:rRNA from 1 species